rnacentral:rRNA from 1 species
GAUCCUGGCUCAGGACGAACGCUGGCGGUGCGCCUAACACAUGCAAGUCGAACGGAGCUGAGAGGAGCUUGCUUUUCUUAGCUUAGUGGCGAACGGGUGAGUAACGCGUGAGUAACCUGCCCUGGAGUGGGGGACAACAGUUGGAAACGACUGCUAAUACCGCAUAAGCCCACGGAUCCGCAUGGAUCUGCGGGAAAAGGAUUUAUUCGCUUCAGGAUGGACUCGCGUCCAAUUAGCUAGUUGG